rnacentral:rRNA from 1 species
UACGGGGGGGGCAAGCGUUGUUCGGAAUUACUGGGCGUAAAGGGCUUGUAGGUGGCCAACUAAGUCAGACGUGAAAUCCCUCGGCUUAACCGGGGAACUGCGUCUGAUACUGGAUGGCUGGAGUUUGGGAGAGGGAUGCGGAAUUCCAGGUGUAGCGGUGAAAUGCGUAGAUAUCUGGAGGAACACCGGUGGCGAAGGCGGCAUCCUGGACCAACACUGACACUGAAAAGCGAAAGCCAGGGGAGCAAACGGG